AACUCAAAUGCAUUUUAGUUUAAAUGUAUUCCAUGCAAUAUUGAGGACACAUUUGUACAAUGGAAGUGUUUGCUGUUUAUCUGAAAAGAUUUUAUUUGAAGAUCUGAAGCUGGGAAUGCCACCAGCAUGAUUUUACUGGAGUGAGUCCAGCUACAUACAUCAGUUAGAAGAUAUCAGGCACUCUGAGUCUCUGAGACAGGCUGGGACCUGGGAGCCUUUGCUACAGUGCUGCAGUGCUUAUGCGUGGACAAACCUCUCCUCCAGCAACAAAAUACAAAGAAACUAUAUGAGACUAAAAACAACUGCAGUUGGGACAAACUCUGGAGAAGCCAUUAGCCUAGACCUCUCUCAGGAUCGAGAAAUAAACCACAAGCAUCCUAGUGCCAGCCUCAGAGCUGGUUCCCAGUCAUGAGGGUGGCCAGGACGAAGCAGGAAAGAGGCCUCGCUGGGUUCAGCUAAGACUGCAGAGAUGGUAAAUCAGAAACACUUAUCUCCGGCAGAUCUAAAAAAAAACUGGGACAUCUUUGGAAGCCUUCAAAAUUUCAGAGGCCGGUCAGUGAGGAGCAGCUAAAAGGUGAGACUCUCUUUGGAGUGUGGUAGGUCUGGAGAACACACAGAUCACCUGGCUGCAUCCAAUCUUUCCCUGGACAUUUUGUUUUUGUUAUUCCUAC
rnacentral:lncRNA from 1 species